AUGCACAACUCCACCAGCGGCUUCUCCCAGGUGGUGUUCAGGGACAUCCCGCACUCGUACCCUCCAGCCACCUCCGUCAGCUGCUGCUACACUCUCGCUCCACACUUCCAGCCCAGUCCACGCGACUGGGUGGGCAUCUUUAAGGUUGGGUGGAGCACCAUAAAGGACUAUCACACAUUUGUGUGGGUGGAGUCGUACGGGGACUCGAGCCAAGAACAGUCAUUGAAGAGGCAUGCUUAUUUUAAAGAUUAUUACCUGCCCAAGGAUGAGUUGGACUUCUAUCAGUUCUGCUACGUGGACAGCUCGGGUCAAGUGUGUGGCGCCAGCACACCCUUUAGCUUCAAAGCGCAGGAUGUCAACAAUGAGCAAAGUGCGGCAAACAGCUCAGACGACCUGCUGGUCAUUACCACACAGGAACAAGUGGAGCAGAGCAAUCGGGAGAUUGCGUCGCUGAAAGACGAGGCCCAGUGCAUCCAACAGCAAAAUGCAGAGUUGGAAAAAGCUCUGCGGGAGGAGAGACGAGAAGCCGCCAUCAUCAAGGACAAACACGAUGAACUCGUGUCAGAACUGCGUCAGACGAAAGAGCACAAAGAGAGUCUUCUGUGCACUUUGCAGGAGCAACAUGAAGAAAUCCAACAUUUAAAGGAAGAGAUGUUGGUCCACAUGGCCAAUCAGGUGGAACUUCAGAAGCAGAACCUUCCUGAAUGCACACAGUCAGAUCCAAAUUCAGGUGAUGACAACGGACUGUUGCUACAAACUGAGCUGCAACUCCGAAAAGCUCAUGCGGUGAUUGCGGACAAGGAUGCCGUGAUCAAGGAGGAGAAGAACUUGUCAUCCAUGUUGAAGCGCCACAACCAGGAGCUUGCUCAAGAGAACCAAAAACUCACACGUGAGAUUGAGGAGCUGCGCAGGACUGUGGAUGAGCUUCAAAUGCGUACGAGCACCCACUCGGAGGAGCAGAAUGCCACCACCACGACCCACUGUGCCACAACACAGCCGGAUGCUGCGGAGGCAUGUGACCUGUCAUAUGACAACAUACCUGUAGUGAGCAUUGUCGAAGAUGAUGAGGAAGACCAGCCGGCCCUGAUGUGCCGCCAUUGCCUGGAGAGCUUCCCGGGAAGCACGCGGGCGGAAGUGGAGUGUCAUGAGCGCAAUCAUCAAGUGUGUCCCUUCUGUACGCUCAUAUGCGACGACAUGGAGCAGAACGUGUUCGAAGACCACGUCUACAGCCACGAGAUGUGACGGUGAAAAGCACCUGCUCGGUGUUCCUAAAAAGAAGUCAAUGAUUGAUUGUUAAGAAGUGGAAAGACACUGUUGACAUGGACUCACCAGGACGUGACUCGCUCGCUCAUUCUCCCACUUGAGAUUGUCCUUGAUCUCACUCACCGUCACGUAGCCCUUCUUCUGCAAAUAAGUGACAAGCACAACAGAACGAUUCUGACAGGCAAGCGGAUCAACUCCAAUAGUGGCACACAUCUCCUGAAACUGGACCCGGAACUGGGAACUCUUGCGGAUUUCCUGUUUAUGCUUGCUGGCAAACUCUUCCAGGUGGGACUUGAACAUGUCCAGCUGCUUGGACAUCUGACAGAGAGAUGAAGUAACGCAAUUAAAAUGUUGCUGUUGGAGCAUGAGUGCAACAGCAAGAAGCAUCACCUGUAAUGUGGACACGCUUCAAGUAAUAAAGGGAAUUACUUGCCUGAACUA